rnacentral:rRNA from 1 species
GUCUACGGCCGUGCCACCCUGAAUGAGCCGGAUCCUGUCUGAUCUCAGAAGCUAAGCAGGGUUGGCCCUGGUUAGUACUUGGAUGGGAGACCACCUAGGAAGACCAGGUGCCGUAGGCA